CCUACGGGUGGCAGCAGUCGAGAAUCAUUCACAAUGGGGGAAACCCUGAUGGUGCGACGCCGCGUGGGGGAAUGAAGGUCUUCGGAUUGUAAACCCCUUUCAUGUGGGAGCAAAUUAAAAAGAUAGUACCACAAGAGGAAGAGACGGCUAACUCUGUGCCAGCAGCCGCGGUAAUACAGAGGUCUCAAGCGUUUUUCGGAAUCACUGGGCGUAAAGCGUGCGUAGGCUGUUUAGUAAGUCGUGUGUGAAAUGCGCGGGCUAAACCCGCGGACUGCACAUGAUACUGCGAGACUAGAGUAAGGGAGGGGGAAGCGGAAUUCCCGGUGUAGCAGUGAAAUGCGUAGAUAUCGAGAGGAACACUCGUGGCGAAGGCGGGUUCCUGGAAAUUAACUGACGCUGAGGCACGAAGGCCAGGGGAGCGAAAGGGAUUAGAUACCCGUGUAGUC
rnacentral:rRNA from 1 species